UUGUAAUAAUGUUAUAAAUAUGUCAAGAUUUGAUUCAAGGAAUAUUCCUAGUUAUAGUCCUUAUAGAGGAAAAAGAAGUUGUUUUGUGGUUAAGUCAUUUGGGAACAUUAAAUAAUGGUGAAAGGAUGUUGUCAUUUCAUCGUAAGACUGUUGCCAUUUUUAUUGGUAAAUACACCUUUCAAUUACCCUUUAUGGAGUACUCCGUAUAUAUUACUCAAUACUCAACGUCUUUCUAGGUAAUUAUAAACUUUUCUUUAUCCCUUAAAUUCUUUGAAGAGAUCCGAUUCCAUCUAGGGUGUGUGUUGUGCACGUACUAAACCAGGAACAUCCUAGAGGAUACUCUCGUUCGUGUGUAUGAAAUAAUUUGUGAAUUUCUUUUCUAGAUUGUGCUUUUUCUAACUUUACUUUUCAUUAUUAUGAAAGUGUGAUCGCCUAGCAAUCGGGUUAGGUUCUUCUCCUAUGUAUGGGAUGGUAUGGCAUACUAGAUUAUGAGAGGGAGGAGGAAACUAUAACUCUAUAAGGGUGAGGUCGACCCGAUCUAUGUUUUCCUCCUCCCUCUUGUAAUCCAACCUUAAUUUCUAUUGCCGGAGAGAAUCCUUUCCCUGAUCAUGGAACUGCUAGCUUAUGUUGCCGUGGAGAAGUAUAUGAACAAGGAACUUGAAAUAGACGCAAUGCAGCAAAAGGAGACAACAUUUUCUAUUUUAGCUUCAUGUUCAUGUCCUUCUCCACGGCAAUAAGCAUGCAUGCCAGAGGAUUCAAAUGGUUCCAUGUUAGUGAUUAACAGGACAAGAGGAGAGCUCAGAACAUCGGUUGCAAUAGCGCUAAUGUCAAUAGGGCCUCAGAUCAGCAGAUUAAUACUAGUAUGUUAGAACAAUUUGUUCACUAAAGGUGAGAAACCGAAGAACAGGAAUCUUGCCCUGGAUUAUCAGCUUCAACUUCAAGGAAAUGUACUGUUCUGAAAGAUGUCUCCUUGGACUUGUUCUAGUCUUUCUUUAUUCCGGCCUUACGGCCUACCAAAUGAAGUUCUACACACACGAAGAACAGAUGAAUCUUACCUUGUUUUUCCUUAUAAUAAUUUAAGUCUAGUAUAUAUCGCCUUUUUUCCUAUAUCUUUGAUAGAAUUCAUGUAUCUUUUUACUAUAAAUUUGUAUCUCGUCAAAUUGCAAGCUAUACUCAAACACUUGUCAAACGAGUAUUAUGAUCAAUACUAAA